rnacentral:rRNA from 1 species
UACGUAGGGACCGAGCGUUGUCCGGAUUCAUUGGGCGUAAAGAGCUCGUAGGCGGUUUGUCGCGUCUGCUGUGAAAACCUAAGGCUCAACCUUGGGCUUGCAGUGGGUACGGGCAGACUAGAGUGCGGUAGGGGUGACUGGAAUUCCUGGUGUAGCGGUGGAAUGCGCAGAUAUCAGGAGGAACACCGAUGGCGAAGGCAGGUCACUGGGCCGCAACUGACGCUGAGGAGCGAAAGCAUGGGGAGCGAACAGG